rnacentral:rRNA from 1 species
UGGGGAAUCUUGCGCAAUGGGCGAAAGCCUGACGCAGCGACGCCGCGUGCGGGAAGAAGGCCUUCGGGUUGUAAACCGCUUUCAGGAGGGACGAAGCCACUCGGGUUAAUAGCCCAGAGGGUGACGGUACCUCCAGAAGAAGCCCCGGCUAACUACGUGCCAGCAGCCGCGGUAAUACGUAGGGGGCAAGCGUUGUCCGGAUUUAUUGGGCGUAAAGAGCGUGUAGGCGGUCAGGUAGGUCGGUUGUGAAAACUGGAGGCUCAACCUUCAGAGGUCGACCGAAACCCCCUGGCUAGAGUCCGGGAGAGGAGAGUGGAAUUCCUGGUGUAGCGGUGAAAUGCGCAGAUAUCAGGAAGAACACCCGUGGCGAAAGCGGCUCUCUGGAACGGUACUGACGCUGAGACGCGAAAGCGUGGGGAGCGAACA